CAAACACAUAAACUGGUCCGCUGCUGCACACCCGUGGAGGAAGGAUGCAGUUGAAUUCACUGGGACACAUCCACUGAGUGAGCACUGAGGAGAUGCAGGGGUCUGGGUCCUGGAUGUGGCUGGCCAGGCUUGUGUUCUCUGUGACUCAAUAGAUAGUUUAAGCUGAUCUAGAGAAGAAGUCACAAGUCGCCUUCCUGGGUAUUUUCAUCACUGAUACAAAGCAGCAGUGACAAAUCCGCUGCACCCAAGUCUCCUUGAUGGACGCUUAAGCUUGUACUUCCAGAGGCCAGUGGGUAAGAAGAGGUACGGUGGGUGGAGAAAACGCCAGCUGCUGCACCCCAGCCUUUGCCUUUGCUUCUCACUCUUGCUAGAUUGUCCGUGAGAACGGGUCUCAUCACAGGGCGGAAGCCAACCAAGUCGGUGUCUCUGGAAUGUCUUGACCGAGUCUGCCACCUGGUGGCUGUUUGGAAAAGCAGCCAGGUAAAUGAAAUAAAGACAAAUUAGGAAACCAGUGUGAAACAAGUAUGUUUGCAAACCAAGCAGCAGAGGGGUGGUCAGAAACUGAUAAAGGCCUCGACACGAAGGACGCUAAUGGCACGGAUUACACGUGCGGGAAUGUGAUGGCGCAAAGCUCCAACUGCUUCCAUUUAAGCUUACACUGCGAUACCCGAAAACUACGGCAAAAUUGGAAAAGAAGCCA